GCUGAAUUGUGUCCCCCCAAUCCAUAUAUUGAAGCCCUAACCCCUGUAGUGCCUCAGAAUGUGACCAUAUUUGAGACAGGCUCUUUAACAAGGUAAUUAAGGUAAAAGGAGGUUGUUGAAUGACUGAUAUGACUGCUGUACCUGUAGGAAGGGGUGGUUAAGGACACAGAUACAGAGAGAGGGCCGUGGGAGAAUAUGGGGGAAAGGUGGCCGUCUAGGAGCCAAGGGGAGAGGCCUCAGACCCUCUCAAGCCAUCUCAAUUUUGCCCAUACCUCGGUCUCAGAUUACGAGCCUCCAAAACUGAGAAAAAUCAGUCUCUGUUGUCGAAGCCUGCCCAGUCUAUGGUACUUCGUCAUGGCAGCCUCAGUAGACUGAUGGAUGAUCCGUAACAGAUUCAGCUCAAAUCUUCUCUCCUCCGUGAAAGAAUAGAAGGGGGUUGACAAGCUGUGGCCCUUGGGCCAGAUCGGGCUGGUGACCUGUUUUUGUUAAUGAAGUUUUAUUGGCACCCGGCCAUGCCCAUUUGUUCACUUGCUGUGUGUGGCUGGUUUUGUGCUACAAAAGCAGAGCCGAGACAUCACAAUUGAGACAUCGUGACUCAUAAAGCUGAGAAUAUUUACGUCAUUUUACAGAAAUGCAUGCUGAUUCUUGGUCCAGGAGAGUGGUUGGUGGCUCGGGCUGUGCACUCAGACAGGCUUUUAAACUCUUCUGGAUCGAUGCUGGGCUACGUGAUCCCACUCAGCUGGAGAGCUUCUGGGAUGAAUGGGCCAGUUCCAGAGCCACUGCAGAUAGUCUGCAAGGCUGAAAAGCCAAUUAUAGGAUCAUCUCAUCACUGCCUCCCACUUCCAGCUACUGCUGAUGAGCCCAUCGACCUGAAGAUUUUCACUAGCUUUGUGUGGAGGCAGUUCAAUGGGAAGUGAAUUGUCUUCCAACAAAUGGUGUUGGGACAACUGGAUAUUUACAUGCAAAAAUGAACUUCAAUCCCUACCCUAUUUCAUAUACGAAAAUUAAAGUGAAAUAGAUCAUAUGCCUACAUGUAAGAUCUGUCAAUGG
rnacentral:lncRNA from 1 species